AAGUACAGAGAGAUAUCCAAUGCGUAGUUAUUUGCAUACUUCCACCUAAUGCUUCGUAUAAACAGAAUACAUUUCAUCAUAAUCAUUUGUUAGGAGAUCAUAAGGGCAUCUAACCUUGCACAUUAAGACAACAUUUAUCAAAUAAUUCUGUUUCAGGAGUUCAUGCAAUAUAUCUUGGUAGGUCAUCCAACUGCAGCAAUUAAUCAUCAUGACAGGUCAAAAAAAAGAAGCACCUUUUCUGCUAGGGCCAAGUAACUAAGAAGAGGUACUAAUCAAAGUAAGCUGAUACGUUCAGCCAAGGAUGAGAUCCAUUUCUUGUCUGUUGACUGCAUCAUCAAGUACAGGCAGCUGAAGGAGCUAUACUUGCACAGAAGCCGCUUCUUGGACACUUUUUUUCUUGACGAUUAUGAGCAACCACCUCCUCAUUCUUGCCGGCCAGCACCUGCUCCUCAUCGUCCCUCCCGUACCGUCGAAAUUCUGCUCCGCCUCCGGGCUUGCAUCGGCAAGCGCAGCAACGACGAUGGCGAUCAGCUGGGAACCAGGGUGACCACCCAGCGAAGCGUCUCAUGGGCUCGGUAGAGGUGGGAAGGGAGAAAGGAGAAGAAAGCGG
rnacentral:lncRNA from 1 species